rnacentral:pre_miRNA from 13 species
UGUUGUGUUUUGGUGAAAUCUCAGCUGGCAACUGUGAGUCGUUCACUAGCUGCUCUCACAAUGGCCUCUGGGAUUAUGCUAAACACAGCG